UACAGAGGGGGCAAGCGUUGUUCGGAAUUACUGGGCGUAAAGGGCGCGUAGGCGGCCCGCUAAGUCGAACGUGAAAUCCCCAGGCUCAACCUGGGAACUGCGUCCGAUACUGGCAGGCUUGAAUCCGGGAGAGGGAUGUGGAAUUCCAGGUGUAGCGGUGAAAUGCGUAGAUAUCUGGAGGAACACCGGUGGCGAAGGCGGCAUCCUGGACCGGAAUUGACGCUGAGGCGCGAAAGCGUGGGGAGCGAACAGG
rnacentral:rRNA from 1 species